rnacentral:lncRNA from 1 species
AACACCUUCCGGAAAUGCAUCCUUUAAUAAUUGAAGAAGCAUGGUAAAAGACUUGCUGGACCACCCAUUCAAAUAUUUCAAAUGUAAUAAAUGCGGAAGAAAAGAAAUCUUCGUAAAAUUCUUACAACCCGGAUACAGUUCUUGAUCACAAUCUUUCACCAAGUUAUCAUAAUGAGCUGUGCCAUCAGCUGGUAUAGAUUCCUCAACAUGCAUGGACUGAUCAAUAACUGCACGCUCAUUUUCUCCUACAGUUCUGAUAUUAUGUCCAAGAGCAUCUCUAAGUAGGCCCCUUAUAUCAUCUUCUUCUACAGAAUUUUGUUCCGUGUCACUACAUCCAAAAUUGAAGGUGUCUUCUACAUAGGAGGGUUGGCUACAUGAAGGUAUGAACUCUCCAUGGAGUACCCAUUCAGUAUAACCCUUUAGAAAACCAUUCCAUACCAAAUGUUCUUCAACAAUUUUUGGAUCAAGAGCAGAACCGUUUACACAUUUUUGACAUGGACA